UGAUGGUAAAUCUGAUUUGAUCUCUUCCUUUGACUACCUCAAACCUUUUUGAUAUUGAAGAUGGAUCAAAGGAGGAUGCCAGAUAAUGGAGAAAAAUUUGAUUAAGACUCUCUUCUCUUUGGUUUUUCCCUCAUCCAAAAAUUUUAGAACAGUUUUAGGUCUCUCACCCGAGAGGAGAUCGGUCUCCUCCUUUAUUCAUGCCAAGGAAGAUAGAAUCCCACCCAAACCUCAUGCCCCAA
rnacentral:lncRNA from 1 species